rnacentral:lncRNA from 1 species
UUUCUUCAGUUUGUUGGUUUCUAUCAUAUUUAGCUAAACCUAAUUUUACCGUUUCUCUCAUCACCUGCUUUGCCUUUGCUUUCUCUCAUCGCUGAUUGCUCACUCAAUGUUCCUUUCAUAUUUAGCUAAACCUAAUUUUAAUGGAGCUUGUGGCGUUUCAGUGAUCAUCCACAUCAUAUAUAUUUCAAAUCUGUUUUAACAAUUUCAUGGCGACAAGAAAGAUGAAGUUGCCGCAAUUGGUGGCACAAAAACCAGAAAUGGAGAAGGCUUCGAAAGCAGAGUUUAAAGAAAACGGCGAAUGCUUGAGAGAGGAGCAAGCGCAAAAUUUGAAGAGAUCGAAAGAGGAUGCAAUCAACUGAAACAAGAAACCUAAACGCUGACGAAACAAUCAGCCAUGACUCAAAUCAGGCUCGCUCUCAUCUUCAAUAUCUCCAAAGCCCCACAAGGUGGAUAUCUCGUUGAAGCCUGUAAGCACUUUCACUUCCUUAGCUUCUCUUACAAUAAAUUAAAAAAGAGAAACUGGUGAUCCUAAUUUGUUUCUACAUUUUAAAUUUUGCUGGCUUGCAGUGAAGUUGUUGCCGAAAAUGAAAACACAGAGAAGGAAAACAGGCGGACAGCAGCAACCCAGAAAACAUGUAGGCAGGUCUCAUGUUUGUAGAUAGUAACAUAAAUAGUACUUGAAAAACAUGUAUUAUCUUUUCGGUUUUGUGUAUUCAAAUCGAAUUUUCAAUCACUUGUAAAACAUGUAAUGCCCAUUGAUUUGAAAUAAUAUACAACAUAUUAAUAGUAGGAUUGUUUCUGUUAAAAACGGUACAAAAUAUCACUUCAUCUUUGAAGUUUUCCUAUGAUUAUAUGUUCCAGGUUUACG